AACAAGACAGCUCCCAAAACUCAAGCUGAUGUCACAACCGUAAAUGGGACCCAAACAAACCCAAAUAUCAAAAAGAAGGCAACAGCAGAGGAUCGAAGGAAACAACUAGAAGAAUGGCAGAAAUCUAAGGGAAAAACCUAUAAACGGCCCCCUAUGGAACUUAAAACAAAAAGAAAAGUAAUAAAGGAAAUGAAUAUUUCAUUCUGGAAGAGCAUUGAAAAAGAAGAGGAAGAAAAGAAAGCACAACUCGAACUGUCCAGUAAAAUUAACAACACUCUGACAGAAUGUCUGAACCUCAUCGAAGGGGGUGUACCUUCUAAUGAAAUACUUAACAUAUUGUCCAGCAUUCCUGAAGCUGAAAAAUUUGCUAAAUUCUGGAUCUGCAAAGCAAAGUUGUUGGCAAGUAAAGGCACCUUUGAUGUUAUUGGGCUAUAUGAAGAGGCCAUUAAAAAUGGGGCAACACCAAUACAAGAGUUGCGGAAAGUUGUUCUUAAUAUCUUGCAAGACUCAAACAGAACCACAGAAGGUACUAUUAUUUUUGUAUUUAAAUUCAUCUUCUCUAGCUGUACCAGUAAAAAUCAUCCAGGACAUAUAGGAAAAAGAAGAAAAGAAUCAUCCCCUGAAAUGCUUCUCACUUCUUGGUUUCCAUGACCUGGCCCUUUCAGCCAUUGUCAUCAGCUGAUUUAUUUGUAUUAUUACAAGUAAAUGCACUGCUCAAUACUGAACAAAGGUUGUUUCCACCAAAACAGCCUAGACUGGAGUGUCCCACUUCCUUGGAAUCCUAGAUGGCAAAGACAAAC
rnacentral:sRNA from 1 species